rnacentral:rRNA from 1 species
UACGGGGGGGGCAAGCGUUGUUCGGAAUUACUGGGCGUAAAGGGCUCGUAGGCGGCCAACUAAGUCGGAUGUGAAAUCCCCAGGCUUAACCUGGGAACUGCAUCCGAUACUGGAUGGCUUGAGUUUGGGACAGGGAUGCGGAAUUCCAGGUGUAGCGGUGAAAUGCGUAGAUAUCUGGAGGAACACCGGUGGCGAAGGCGGCAUCCUGGACCGGUAUUGACGCUGAGUGAGCGAAAGCCAGGGGAGCAAACGGG